rnacentral:rRNA from 1 species
UGGGGAAUAUUGGACAAUGGGCGCAAGCCUGAUCCAGCCAUGCCGCGUGAGUGAUGAAGGCCCUAGGGUUGUAAAGCUCUUUCACCGGUGAAGAUAAUGACGGUAACCGGAGAAGAAGCCCCGGCUAACUUCGUGCCAGCAGCCGCGGUAAUACGAAGGGGGCUAGCGUUGUUCGGAUUUACUGGGCGUAAAGCGCACGUAGGCGGACUAUUAAGUCAGGGGUGAAAUCUCGGGGCUCAACCCCGGAACUGCCUUUGAUACUGGUAGUCUUGAGUUCGAGAGAGGUGAGUGGAAUUCCGAGUGUAGAGGUGAAAUUCGUAGAUAUUCGGAGGAACACCAGUGGCGAAGGCGGCUCACUGGCUCGAUACUGACGCUGAGGUGCGAAAGCGUGGGGAGCAAACAGG